GUCGAGGGGUAGAAGUCUUCGGACUUUGAGACCGGCGCACGGGUGCGUAACGCGUAUGCAAUCUACCUUUUACAGAGGGAUAGCCCAGAGAAAUUUGGAUUAAUACCUCAUAGUAUAUAGCCCUGGCAUCAGGAUUAUAUUAAAGUCACAACGGUAAAAGAUGAGCAUGCGUCCCAUUAGCUAGUUGGUAAGGUAACGGCUUACCAAGGCUACGAUGGGUAGGGGUCCUGAGAGGGAGAUCCCCCACACUGGUACUGAGACACGGACCAGACUCCUACGGGAGGCAGCAGUGAGGAAUGUUGGACAAUGGGCGCAAGCCUGAUCCAGCCAUGCCGCGCGCAGGAUGACGGUCCUAUGGAUUGUAAACUGCUUUUAUACGAGAAGAAACACUCCAACGUGUUGGAGCUUGACGGUAUCGUAAGAAUAAGGAUCGGCUAACUCCGUGCCAGCAGCCGCGGUAAUACGGAGGAUCCAAGCGUUAUCCGGAAUCAUUGGGUUUAAAGGGUCCGUAGGCGGUUUAAUAAGUCAGUGGUGAAAGCCCAUCGCUCAACGGUGGAACGGCCAUUGAUACUGUUAAACUUGAAUUAUUAGGAAGUAACUAGAAUAUGUAGUGUAGCGGUGAAAUGCUUAGAGAUUACAUGGAAUACCAAUUGCGAAGGCAGGUUACUACUAAUGGAUUGACGCUGAUGGACGAAAGCGUGGGUAGCGAACAGGAUUAGAUACCCUGGUAGUCCACGCCGUAAACGAUGGAUACUAGCUGUUGGAAAGCAUUUCAGUGGCUAAGCGAAAGUGAUAAGUAUCCCACCUGGGGAGUACGUUCGCAAGAAUGAAA
rnacentral:rRNA from 1 species